rnacentral:rRNA from 1 species
CAGGAUGAACGCUAGCGGCAGGCUUAACACAUGCAAGUCGAGGGGCAACGCGAGUAGCAAUACUUGGCGGCGACCGGCGCAAGGGUGCGUAACGCGUGAGCAACAUGCCCGUAUCAGGGGGAUAAUCCAGGGAAACUUGGUCUAAUACCCCAUAGUAAUUUUGUAAGGCAUCUUAUAAGAUUUAAAGCUUUGGUGGAUACGGAUUGGCUCGCGUGACAUUAGCUGGAUGGUAAGGUAACGGCUUACCAUGGCUAUGAUGUCUAGGGGUUCUGAGAGGAAGGUCCCCCACACUGGAACUGAGACACGGUCCAGACUCCUACGGGAGGCAGCAGUGAGGAAUAUUGGACAAUGGAUGGAAAUCUGAUCCAGCCAUGCCGCGUGAAGGAAGAAAGGUCCUAUGGAUUGUAAACUUCUUUUGUAUGGGAGCAAUAAGGCCUACGAGUAGGCUGAUGAGAGUACCAUACGAAUAAGCACCGGCUAACUCCGUGCCAGCAGCCGC